AGGACGAACGCUGGCGGCGUGCCUAAUACACUGCAAGUCGAACGGCUUUUCUAUGGAAGCUUGCUUCCACUGAGAAGAUAGUGGCGAACGGGUGAGUAACACGUGGGUAACCUGCCCAUAAGAGGGGGGAUAACAUCCGGAAACGGGUGCUAAUACCGCAUAGUUUUCUUGAUCGCAUGAUCGGGAAAGGAAAGACGGCCUUUGUGCUGUCGCUUAUGGAUGGACCCGCGGCGUAUUAGUUAGUUGGUGAGGUAACGGCUCACCAAGACGAUGAUACGUAGCCGACCUGAGAGGGUGAUCGGCCACAUUGGGACUGAGACACGGCCCAAACUCCUACGGGAGGCAGCAGUAGGGAAUCUUCCGCAAUGGACGAAAGUCUGACGGAGCAACGCCGCGUGAGUGAAGAAAAGGUUUUCGGAUCGUAAAACUCUGUUGUCAGAGAAGAACAAGUUGGAGAGUAACUGCUCCAGCCUUGACGGUAUCUGACCAGAAAGCCACGGCUAACUACGUGCCAGCCGCAGC
rnacentral:rRNA from 1 species